AUUGAAUCGAGGGCGUAGGGAAGAAUAAGAAAUUUUUGGUGCGAUCCACCGUCAUCAUCCCUGUACGGCCGUGGGGCGGGCGGGCGGACGGCUAAACCGAGAACCGGCAUGGUGCGCCGCCGCCCCGCAAAUCGACCUCUCGUCUCGCUCCCCUCCAGCUUCGUGGCGUGCCCUCCCCGAUCCCCUUUGGCCUCGCCCCCGCAGUUUCCCCCCAUCUCGCCGCAGAUUUUGUUAAUUUUCGCCUGCUUUUUGAUCCGCCUCACCUUGUCGCGCAGGCGGGCACCCCGUCCCCCUCCUGCUCCGGCGGUUGGAUUUACUCCGGCCAUCCUCAGGAGGUAAAUUGUAUGGUCGAUUCGAUCGAUUGUGCCGAAAUAUCCCAACAACUGCUCACGGUAAUUAAGCCGAUUACGUGAUUGUUACUACCCCACGAAUGUCACAAUCUUACUAUAUAUGUUACGAUUUCUUAUCUGUUGCUUGCAACCAUGAGUAAUUUUCGCUAGCCUGUAAGAGAACAAUAUUUCUUGCAGAAUAUCCUGUGACAAUGCAGAAGUUUCUUACAAAUCAGUUGAUGGACCCUGAGUUCCUCUCGACA